ACAAGCGACUAAGUGCACAUGGUGGAUGCCUUGGCGAUUACAGGCGAUGAAGGACGUAGAAGCUUGCGAUAAGCUGCGGGGAGUUGGCAAACAAACAUUGAUCCGCAGAUUUCCGAAUGGGGAAACCCGGCCUUAGGGUCAUCAAUAACUGAAUUCAUAGGUUAUUGAAGCGAACGUAGUGAACUGAAACAUCUAAGUAACUACAGGAAAAGAAAUCAACCGAGAUUCCCAAAGUAGUGGCGAGCGAAAUGGGAAGAGCCUGCAAGAGAUAGUGAGACGAGAUAGUGGAACAUUCUGGAAAGGAUGGCGACACAGGGUGAUAGCCCCGUACACGAAAUCCGACUUACAGGACUGGGCUUGCGACAAGUAGGGCGGGACACGUGGAAUCCUGUCUGAAGAUGGGGGGACCAUCCUCCAAGGCUAAAUACUCGUAAUCGACCGAUAGUGAACCAGUACCGUGAGGGAAAGGCGAAAAGAACCCCGGGAGGGGAGUGAAACAGAACCUGAAACCGUGUGCAUACAAACAGUAGGAGCCCGUGCUUGCAUGGGUGACUGCGUACCUUUUGUAUAAUGGGUCAGCGACUUACAUUCAGUGGCGAGGUUAACCGAAUAGGGGAGCCGAAGAGAAAUCGAGUCCGAACAGGGCGCCAGUCGCUGGGUGUAGACCCGAAACCAAGUGAUCUACUCAUGGCCAGGAUGAAGGUGCGGUAACACGCACUGGAGGUCCGAACCCACUAACGUUGAAAAGUUAGGGGAUGAGCUGUGGGUAGGGGUGAAAGGCUAAACAAACUUGGAGAUAGCUGGUUCUCUCCGAAAGCUAUUUAGGUAGUGCCUCAGGUAUCACCGCUAGGGGUAGAGCACUGUUAUGGCUAGGGGGUCAUCGCGACUUACCAAACCAUUGCAAACUCCGAAUACUAGUGAGUGCGAGCCUGGGAGACAGACACCGGGUGCUAACGUCCGAUGUCAAGAGGGAAACAACCCAGACCGCCAGCUAAGGUCCCAAAGAUUGGCUAAGUGGAAAACGAAGUGGGAAGGCUAAAACAGUCAGGAGGUUGGCUUAGAAGCAGCCAUCCUUUAAAGAAAGCGUAAUAGCUCACUGAUCGAGUCGUCCUGCGCGGAAGAUGUAACGGGGCUAAGCCAGUCACCGAAGCUGCGGAUAUCCGCAAGGAUAUGGUAGGAGAGCGUUCUGUAAGCCUGAGAAGGUGUGUUGAGAAGCAUGCUGGAGGUAUCAGAAGUGCGAAUGCUGACAUGAGUAGCGAUAAUGGAGGUGAAAGGCCUCCACGCCGUAAGCCCAAGGUUUCCUGUUCAACGUUCAUCGGAGCAGGGUGAGUCGGCCCCUAAGGCGAGGCAGAGAUGCGUAGCUGAUGGGAAGCAGGUUAAUAUUCCUGCACCGUCGUUAGAUGCGAUGGGGGGACGGAUUGCGGAAAGUCAUCCGGGUGUUGGAAGUCCCGGUUCUUGAUUCGAAGGAGGCUGCUAGGCAAAUCCGGCAGCGUAAUCCAAGGGGUUGAGACGAGUGGCCUUGUGCCGCGAAGUGAUUGGAAGUGGUUCCAAGAAAAGCCUCUAAGCUUCAGUCUAACGAGACCGUACCGCAAACCGACACAGGUGGGCGAGAUGAGUAUUCUAAGGCGCUUGAGAGAACUCGGGAGAAGGAACUCGGCAAAUUGGUACCGUAACUUCGGGAUAAGGUACGCCCUUGUAGCUUGACUGGCCUGCGCCAGGAGGGUGAAGGGGUUGCAAUAAAAAGGUGGCUGCGACUGUUUAAUAAAAACACAGCACUCUGCAAACACGAAAGUGGACGUAUAGGGUGUGACGCCUGCCCGGUGCUGGAAGAUUAAAUGAUGGGGUGAGAGCUCUUGAUUGAAGUCCCAGUAAACGGCGGCCGUAACUAUAACGGUCCUAAGGUAGCGAAAUUCCUUGUCGGGUAAGUUCCGACCUGCACGAAUGGCGUAACGAUGGCCACACUGUCUCCUCCCGAGACUCAGCGAAGUUGAAGUGUUUGUGAUGAUGCAAUCUACCCGCGGCUAGACGGAAAGACCCCAUGAACCUUUACUGUAGCUUUACAUUGGACUUUGAACCAAUCUGUGUAGGAUAGGUGGGAGGCUUUGAAGCGUGGACGCUAGUUUGCGUGGAGCCGACCUUGAAAUACCACCCUGGUUUGUUUGAGGUUCUAACCUUGGCCCGUUAUCCGGGUUGGGGACAGUGUAUGGUAGGCAGUUUGACUGGGGCGGUCUCCUCCUAAAGGGUAACGGAGGAGUUCGAAGGUACGCUAGGUACGGUCGGACAUCGUGCUGAUAGUGCAAUGGCAUAAGCGUGCUUAACUGCGAGACCGACAAGUCGAGCAGGUACGAAAGUAGGACAUAGUGAUCCGGUGGUUCUGAAUGGAAGGGCCAUCGCUCA
rnacentral:rRNA from 1 species